rnacentral:rRNA from 1 species
GAUUAGUGGCGAACGGGUGAGUAACACGUGAGCAACCUGCCCCUGACUCUGGGAUAAGCGCUGGAAACGGCGUCUAAUACUGGAUACGAACCAUGAAGGCAUCUUCAGUGGUUGGAAAGAUUUAUUGGUUGGGGAUGGGCUCGCGGCCUAUCAGCUUGUUGGUGAGGUAAUGGCUCACCAAGGCGUCGACGGGUAGCCGGCCUGAGAGGGUGACCGGCCACACUGGGACUGAGACACGGCCCAGACUCCUACGGGAGGCAGCAGUGGGGAAUAUUGCACAAUGGGCGCAAGCCUGAUGCAGCAACGCCGCGUGAGGGAUGACGGCCUUCGGGUUGUAAACCUCUUUUAGCAGGGAAGAAGCGAAAGUGACGGUACCUGCAGAAAAAGCACCGGCUAACUACGUGCCAGCAGCCGCGGUAAUACGUAGGGUGCAAGCGUUAUCCGGAAUUAUUGGGCGUAAAGAGCUCGUAGGCGGUUUGUCGCGUCUGCUGUGAAAUCUGGGGGCUCAACCCCCAGCCUGCAGUGGGUACGGGCAGACUAGAGUGCGGUAGGGGAGAUUGGAAUUCCUGGUGUAGCGGUGGAAUGCGCAGAUAUCAGGAGGAACACCGAUGGCGAAGGCAGAUCUCUGGGCCGUAACUGACGCUGAGGAGCGAAAGGGUGGGGAGCAAACAGGCUUAGAUACCCUGGUAGUCCACCCCGUAAACGUUGGGAACUAGUUGUG